CAAGCCAAACCACACACUCUCAGAUGGAUCUUAUAUAAAGAAUCUGAUUAUAAAGAAAUCUUCCCAAAGGACCAGACAAAUCUCUACACACACAGAGUUCAGCUCAUUAAUGAUCAUCAGCCAGGAAAUCUCUCUCUACUCAUAUCACACCUGACAGUAGGGGAUGGAGGAUAUUACAGGUGUGAGAUCAGCAACAAUGAUUAUAAAGACGUCUCAGUCACAGUUAAAGAGUCUCUCCCCUUCGUCCCCUUCGCUGUGGUGACUGUGAUCUUUCUGCACAUCAUCGUAGCUGUGGUCUAUUGCAGCACCAGAAAGAAAGACUCUCCAUAUAGUCCUGAUAGAGUUCAUUACAGCAGAGCUGAUGGAGAUGGAAAAGUGAAUCUGCAGUAGAGAACAUCAUCAGCAGAAGAGACACAUGUUUAACAGCAGCGACCCUCAACACACCUGAUUAACA